GCAGUAGUGGUUCAGGGGUAGAAUUCUCACCUUCAAUGUGGGAGACCUAGGUUCAACUCCUGAGCAAUGCA
rnacentral:tRNA from 1 species